rnacentral:lncRNA from 1 species
CCAGUCACAAGAAGAUAAAUAUUGUAUAACUCCACUUAUAUGAGUGGAAAUUCUGAAUUGAUGGAGCUUCUCCAAGUUGCAGUAUUUGAACUCCAGACUCUCAGCUCCCUAAUACCAGGCAGUUGUUGGAAUCUCUGCUUUUUUGCCUUCUAGCUGUUGCUUUUCACCAGGUUCCUUGAAAUCUCGCCCCAAGCCUUUGCAGGUUAUGUCAGCCAGGGAUGUGAAGGAGGUGUAGACGUCUGUAACUACCACUGCAUUCAAGAUACAGAGCUGUUCCACCACCACUAUCAUGCUGCUCAUUCAUAGUCACAGUCCUCUUCCGCCCAAUUAAUCUCCUGGCAACCCCUGGCAACCGUUAAUGUCUUUUCCAUCUCAAUAAUGUUGUCAUUUCGAGAAUGUUAUAUAAAUGGAAUCAUACAUGGCACCUUUUGGGACUGGCUUUUUUCAUUCAGCAGAAUGCCCUUGAGAUCUCUCCAAGAGGCAAGUUUUUGUAAUCAAUGAAAGCUAGGCAGCCAUGGGUUGAACGCUGCUUGUAUUGACAUGCUUUUUGGCUUAAAUUGGAGUUGCCGGCUUCCCUGGAACUCCCAACUCGUUUCUUAAGGAGAAACUUCUAUAAACUUUAUAUCUUUGAAGCUUAAAUCCUCUGGAAAAGUGUACGAUGUGGCAUCUGAAACAUCCCAUGGCCUGAAGGCUACUCCAAUUUAUCUAUCUUCCUCCAGCCAACUGCUGAACUGGAUUUUCUUGUAUUGAAAUCCCUAGCCCAAAAAUCCUGGAAUGCUGGGGAGCGAGCAGUCCUGAGGAGUCAGUGGAAAUGGGGUUCCUGCUGCAGAAAUGACAGCAGAGUCCUUCCACCCCCUGUGAGCCCUGUGGAGCAGCCAGCGGUUCCCUGUUGCUAGACACCAUAUGGAAGACUUGGUGGGAAAAGCAUGCUAAAGGGGACUGAAUUCCCUGGAGCAAGGCCAGCUGGAGGACGGCAUCUGCCACCUGUGUGGCAUCUCCAGCUCCUUCAGAACAGCAGGAAAAAAGGGAGUCCCUGCAGCAGGGAGGCAAAGAUCUCCGCUGCCUGGCAGAGCCAUGUCCACAAAGCUGCCUUCCUCCACCAUCCAGCCUGCUCCAUCUCAACCGAGACCGCUCUUGGGAGGAAAGAGUGAGCAUUUGCUCUCUAGGGUGGUGGACAAUGUCAAGACUUGGGCAUCGAAUGGGGAUGUAUUUGAUCCUGCUGUAACAUUUAUGGUUUUUUCUACUUCUUAAAAAAUAUUAUGAAAUUUUAAAAAUAUACAGAAAAGUAAAGAGACUAUGAGAACAGACGUUGGUGUGCCCAUCAACAACUUUUCUUGAUCGAACCCUAACGUCCUGCCGUACAUGCUUUAUGUAUUUUUAAAACAGCAAAACCUAACAAAUACUCUUGAAACAAUGUUGUUUUCCUUUUUCUAGUGAGUUUUAGGAGUUGUUUAUAAAUUAUAGAAUCUCAUCCUGGCAGUUAUAUGUGUUACAAAUAUCAUUUUCCAAAUUAUAACUUCCCAUUUUAUUUAUC